GAUGAAGAACGUAGCGAAAUGCGAUAAGUAAUGUGAAUUGCAGAAUUCAGUGAAUCAUCGAAUCUUUGAACGCACAUUGCGCCCGCCAGUAUUCUGGCGGGCAUGCCUGUCUGAGCGUCAUUUCAACCCUCAUGCCCCUAGGGCGUGGUGUUGGGGAUCGGCCAAAGCCCGCGAGGGACGGCCGGCCCCUAAAUCUAGUGGCGGACCCGUCGUGGCCUCCUCUGCGAAGUAGUGAUAUUCCGCAUCGGAGAGCGAUGAGCCCCUGCCGUUAAACCCCCAACUUUCCAAGGUUGACCUCAGAUCCGGUAGGAAUACCCGCUGAACUUAAGCAUAUCAAUAAGCGGAGGA
rnacentral:misc_RNA from 1 species